rnacentral:rRNA from 1 species
AGUCAAUAGAUACCCUGGUAGUCCACGCCGUAAACGAUGAGUACUAGGUGUAGGAGGUAUCGACUCCUUCUGUGCCGCAGUUAACACAAUAAGUACUCCGCCUGGGAAGUACGGUCGCAAGAUUAAAACUCAAAGGAAUUGACGGGGGCCCGCACAAGCAGCGGAGCAUGUGGUUUAAUUCGAAGCAACGCGAAGAACCUUACCUAGACUUGACAUCUCCUGAAUAGUGUAGAGAUACAUGAAGCCCUUCGGGCGAGAAGACAGGUGGUGCAUGGUUGUCGUCAGCUCGUGUCGUGAGAUGUUGGGUUAAAGUCCCGCAACGAGCGCAACCCUUAUUACUAAUUGCUUACCAUUAAGUUGAGCACUCUAGUGAGACUGCC